rnacentral:tRNA from 1 species
UGCGGGGUCGAGUAGUGGUCAAGCUCAUUGGUCUCAUAAGCCAAACCUUGUUUUAGGACGAUGGUUCGAAUCCAUCCCCCGCUACCA